UACGUUCAAAUUCAUAUAGUGAGCUGUCUAUUCUAUAUUGGACUUUGCCCCCCCCUUUGCCCCCAUUACCGCGCGACUUGCGGCUCUCUCCCGGAAGAAUCAGCCGUUUUUGCUUACAAGCUCGAGCGAGGAGAGCCUGUGUUUGCUCACUAUAUCCUACGUGGCCAAAAUAUGCAAUAUUCCGAAGACCACAUACGCGAGAAACUGCAAAAGGAACUUGAGCCUCUACACUUGGAAGUAGAUGAUCAGUCUGACGGCUGUGGCGGAAAAUUUGCUGUUCUGAUUGUCUCGGAUAAGUUUGAAGGCAAGCCUCUUCUUCAACGUCACAGAUUGGUCAACAGCAUUCUCGAAGAGGAGCUUAAAAGUAUCCAUGCUUUCUCACAGAAGACUCUGACCCCCGAGCAGUGGAAGAAACAGCAACAACAAUAACUUAUAAGCAGCAAUGGCUUCGUUCAGAAUCUCAGCCCCGGGAAAAGUGAUCCUUUUUGGCGAGCACUCGGUUGUCUACGGCAAGACCGCGGUGGCGGCCAGUCUCGGGCUCCGAAGCAGCCUCCAUUUUACCGAGUUGCCUCAUGAAGAGUGUAUCAUUCACAUCAAGAUGCCAAAGCUCGGUAUAUCGAAGAUUCUCUCGUUGCACCAGGUAGAGGAAGAUUUCCAUCGUCUAGACUUUUACAGCGGCAUCGCAAUGAAUCACGAUGCGAUUAAUCAGAAGCUCCAGAAAUACGUUGCGACGCUUGGCUUCGAAAAUCCGGAUCAGAGGCUCAGUAUGGAGUGUUUUUUCUACGCUAUGAUGCAAGUGAUAAGAUCCGAUCAACUGAGGCUGAGCUCUUUUAUUCUUGAGCUCGACAGCGAGCUUUCCAUCGGUGCCGGUGCCGGCAGCUCGGCAUCUUUCACUGUCUGUCUCGUAGCUUGCUUCCUGCACUGGUCCCAGCUUCAAAAAGGUACUAAUCUUCCAAAUGAAUUUGAUUCUCCUACUUUGAACAAGAUAUCCCACUAUGCACUCAAUUGUGAGAAGAUUAUGCACGGCAAACCUUCCGGAAUUGAUAAUUCCGUGUGCACCUUUGGCUCGGUCAUUGAAUUUCGGAAACCCGAGCCUCCUAAGUUUAUAACUCUGGGUUCGAAGAGCUUGCGAGUUCUUCUAGUCGACACCAAGGUCGCUCGCAGUACCAAGUUGCUCGUCGAAAAGUUCGGCGCUUUGUCAUCCAGCUUUCCAACAAUAUUUAAGGAUAUGCUACAAGUUUACGAUGAACUGGCCAUGCAAGCUCUUGAUAUUAUUAAGAAGAUCCAUGCCACACCCGAGAAUGACCAAGAUCGCCUACUGAAACAUUAUGAUGAGCUUUCGCUUCUAGUUGAUAUUAAUCAAGGACUAUUGGCCACAUGUCAAGUUUCGCACGAAACGCUUGAUACGAUCUGUAAAACUGCCAAAAAGUACGGAUUUUCAGCCAAGCUUACAGGAGCCGGUGGCGGAGGUUUUGCAUAUGUACUGAUUCCACCGAACGUAAACAAUGCGAAAGUGGAAGAUUUAACCAACGAGUUGAAAAUACAAGGUUUCUCGGUAACAGAGACCAAAUUAGGAGGCUCGGGCGUAGAGGUUAACGACAUGGAUUGAUUUUGUUGCUAAAUAAUUUUCUAUUUAUGUGUAUAUACAUAUAGAUUUUAUUUUGGUUUUCUUACAUCUUUAUAAUACGCUGUACAAACGGUUUCGAUAAGUUUUACUUACUUUGGUGCAAACAACUACUAGACAUAAAUUCUUACAGAUGAAAAAAUA